ensembl:lncRNA
UAGACAGCGACAGGAUACUGGUGAGCCAUCGGUCUUGUUUAAAUAAUGUAAUAUGGCCGGUGUUAAACAAUGCUUAUUUUCCCUUUACUCUGAAAUGAUAACAAUCGUGCUUUAUCUCCAGGUCCUUGACGCAGGGAGAAUUCACGCCUAUGAUCAGCCUUACAACCUGCUGCAAGACACCGAGGGGAUUUUCUUCAAAAUGGUGCAGCAGACGGGCAAGCAGGAGGCUGCAGCUCUACUAGCCGCCGCUAAACGGAAGGACGCGUGCAGGGAGCCGAAUGAGACGAGGAAGCCGCUGCUCGUCCCAGGAAAAAAACCCAAAAGGAUCCCAGGUACAGAACAGGUGGCUGGUGCUGUUGGGUUGCAAGUAUUCUCUACAUGUAAGCUCUACGUGUGGGUGAGAGACGACCGUUCCUCAGGUUCCCAUGGGCGUCAGUUGGGAGUUGUGAAGUUAGCAUUCAUUACUGAAGCAGCACCUUGCUUCGUUUCCCUCGCGUACAGACAGUUCAAAAGAGGCAAGGUCUGUUUGCGGCAUCGAACCAGGUGUCGGUGA